rnacentral:pre_miRNA from 12 species
UGCGGCCGCCGCCAAAGGUCAAUUUCUUUCGAUGAGUGGAGGUUUAGUGCAUGUUUCCACAUCAUGACUAGAUCCACACUCAUCCAUGGAAGUUGCGAUGUUCGUCGAGGCCACAA